AAGUCGUAACAAGGUUUCCGUAGGUGAACCUGCGGAAGGAUCAUUAACGAGUUUUAAUGAGUGGGACUUGAUGCUGGCCUCCCCUGGCACUUGUGCUCAGUCCCUCUCGCUCAUAUCCAUUCAACCUCUGUGCAUUACCUUCGAGUCGCUGUGAGUCUUGUCUCUCCUCUUGGGGGGAGACUUGAUUAGCUCGACUUCGGAUUAUCACACAUAUAAACACUUGUCAGAAUGUAAAGCUUAAUAUUAAUUAUUAAAUACAACUUUCAACAACGGAUCUCUUGGCUCUC
rnacentral:misc_RNA from 1 species